UCGGGCGUCGUCCAAUGGCAGGACACCGGCCUUUGAAGCCGGCAAUCCAGGUUCGAGUCCUGGUGCCCGAA
rnacentral:tRNA from 1 species